rnacentral:rRNA from 1 species
GACGAACGCUGGCGGCGCGCCUAACACAUGCAAGUCGAACGGAGCUGAGAGAAGCUUGCUUUUCUUAGCUUAGUGGCGAACGGGUGAGUAACGCGUGAGUAACCUGCCCUGGAGUGGGGGACAACAGUUGGAAACGACUGCUAAUACCGCAUAAGCCCACGAUCCGGCAUCGGAUUGAGGGAAAAGGAUUUAUUCGCUUCAGGAUGGACUCGCGUCCAAUUAGCUAGUUGGUGAGGUAACGGCCCACCAAGGCGACGAUUGGUAGCCGGACUGGGAGGUUGAACGGCCACAUUGGGACUGAGACACGGCCCAGACUCCUACGGGAAGCAGCAGUGGGGGAUAUUGCACAAUGGGGGAAACCCUGAUGCAGCGACGCCGCGUGGAGGAAGAAGGUUUUCGGAUUGUAAACUCCUGUCGUUAGGGACGAUAAUGACGGUACCUAACAAGAAAGCACCGGCUAACUACGUG